rnacentral:lncRNA from 1 species
CUUCCCCCGCGCCCUAGCUUCGACGGACAACAACCUUUACCCAAUACCAACCAAAGCGAAACUAGCCGUUGCACUAACCCUUUGACAGUGAAAUCAAUCGGCAUGCCAACCCCCACCUCAGAUCGGUGGCGAUUAUAUGAAACUUGCGACGAAGGUAGAUCUUAGCCCACGGUGAAAUCGACCGUCGCGCUACCUCCCCCUCAGUUCGGUGAUGAAGCAGUGAAGAAUAUACGGAAUCUUCUUCUCCGACGGAACCUACAGCAAACAUUCGGUAAGCGUGACACUUUGUUCAUGCGGUUGUAUUGACGCUAUUGGGCAUAUCUAUACUUGGUUUAUGUGGUUGUAUUGAUGCGGUUGAUUUAGUGGUACCGUUUGAUUCCAGAUAGGAUUUUACCAUUUGAAAUGUUGUAAUCUUUCUCCUCAUCAAAGGAUCUAGCAUUAUUGUCUGUUAUCCGGAAGGUCUAGUGAAUUUUAUUUCAUUUUAGGUUUCAUCUUUUGUCAAAGGACACAUACAUUGUUUCCAUUGUAUUACGUUCCCUUUCCUACUAAUUGUUAGUUCCUUCUGAAUGAUUUAGGAUCCAAAAACUGUUGAUUUUUCUUCAAGAUUUACUAUUUGUCCCACAGCAAGUAUACUUCUAAUUUCCAAAUUACCAUACUUUGAGUUAGUUGCUCAUAAAAAGUUUGUUAAUAAUUCUGAGAUACAUCUGUGCUGGGAUUGCAAUUCGAGUCUGAAAAGGAAAAUAAUUCUUGUAUAUUUCAUUGAGAAAUAAUAAGGUAUAUAUAUACAUCAUACGAGAAUCAAUUUAGGUCCUAAAACAAAGCAUAUACAUUGUCAUUGCCUAUUCAUACUCCUGUAUAAAUGGAAAAUACAUUAACAGCAAUUAAUGGUGGUUGAUUGAGAUGAUUGAAGGACAUUCCUGACUUUGUGCCUUGAUUCACUUUUAAUUCUUUAACACUCCCCUUCAAGUUUGAAAUAUAUGUUGAUAAUUCCGAACUUGUCAAGUAAAGUCGAAAAAUGUGAAGAACUCAACGAUUUUGUAAAGAUGUCAGCUGGUUGGUGUGAUGUGGAUAUAUGAGUCAUUUUGACCAUUCCUUCUUGAACCUUCUCCCGUACAAGAUGACAAUCAAUUUCUAUAUGUUUUGUUCGCUUGUGAAAAAUUGGGUUUGAAGCAAUAUGCAGUGCCGCUUGAUUGUCACAAUAUAGAUUGGCAAGAUGUGAGUGUUGGAUGCCCAAAUCUUGUAGGAUGUAUUUCAACCAAGUAAUCUCACAACAAGUUGCAGCCAUAGAUCGAUACUCAGCUUCUGCGCUAGAUCGUGAUAUCGUAGUUUGCUUCUUGGUUUUCCAGGAAAUUAAUGAACUUCCAAGAAAUAUACAAUACCCAGUGACAGAUCGUCGAGUAUCAUGACAUCUAGCCCAAUCCGCAUCACAAAAUGCAUUUAAUUAGAUUGAACUAUCUGUAGGAAGAAAAAUUCCUUGACAUGGUGUUUGCUUCACAUAAGGUAAUACACAAUAAGCUGCUUCUUGGUGUGGGACUCGUGGUUUGUCCAUAAAUUGGCUUAGAACAUGUACCGCAUAUGUCAAAUCUGGUCGUGUGAUAGUCAAGUAAAUUAGUCGUCCAACAAGCCUUCGAUAUGAAGAAGGAUCACUAAUAUAGUCCCCAUCAAACUUACUAAGAGACAAGUUUUGCUCCAUGGGAAAAGAGACUGGUUUGGCCCCUAGAUAACCAACAUCUUCGAGAAUUUCGAGAGCAUACUUUCGUUGUGAAAGAACAAUGCCUUUGUUGGAUCGUGCAACUUCUAUUCCAAGAAAAUAUUUCAAUUGCCCAAGGUCCUUCAAUUUAAAUUGAUCUCUUAAAAAUGACUUGGUAUUUUCAAUGUCUUGUAGAUUAUUUCCUGCAAGGAUGACGUCAUCUAUAUAAAUAAGGAGAGUAGUGAAUUUACCAUCUUGGGAUCGGACGAACAAGGAAUGGUCGGCCUUUGAUUGUUUGAAGUUGGCUCGUUUGAGGGCAGUGGUGAGUUUGAUAAACUAUUGGCGAGAUGCUUGUUUUAGACCAUACAAUGAUUUGUGAAGCUUGCAAACUCUUGUCUCCCCCUUUCGUCCAAAACCAGGAGGUAAAGUUAUGUAGACAUCUUCAUCAAGAUCUCCAUGCAAGAAAGCAUUGUUGACGUGAAGUUGGUGAAGGUGCCAAUGUUGGGUUGAGGCCACAGCAAGGAGGAGGCGAACAGUCACAAGCUUUGCAACUGGAGCAAAGGUCUCACUGUAAUCUAAUCCUUCUAUUUGGUUGUAUCCUUUGGCUACCAACCUGGCCUUAUAGCGUUCAACAGUACCAUCGGGUUUGAAUUUAAUCUUGUAUACCCAUUUGCAGCCAAUUGGCUUCUUUCCUGGAGGAAGUGUCUGAAGAGACCAUGUUCCAUUAGUCUUGAGUGCAGCAAGUUCUUGUUGCAUAGCUAGGCACCAUUUGGGAUCACAAAUUGCCUGUUCAAAGGAUGUUGGUUCUUUUUCCACUGAAAGAGAAGUGGUGAAAGCAUGGUGUUUGGGUGAUAACUUAUCAUAAGAAACGACAUCAGAUAAGGGAUAAAGAAUACCUGUUUUUGUAACCAUCGCCGAGUUAGAUGAUGGAAUGUUCCUUGAAGGAAGAUAAACACCAACAUGAUACUCUCGAAGAUAACUAGGUGCUGUUGUUGUUCGUGUCAAUCGCGAGGAAGGUAUCUGUGAUUCAUGGGACGAAGUUGGAGAGUGUUGGGUAGUAGAUGAAGUAAUAUCAGAGGAGAUAGUGUCAGUGACAUAGUUUGAAGGAGGAGUUUCUUGAGAGAUAAGUUCUGAUGGUAUUGGUUCAGCAUUGAAUUGUCGGGAAAAGGAUGGAGUGGGGUUGUCAUCAUCAUAUGUUGGUAGUUGAUUACUAGGAAAAAUUGGCGAGGAACGUAUAGUGGAAGAUGAAUAAGGAAAAACAUUUUCAUGAAACAAAACAUCACGUGAGACAAAAACUUUACCAGUUGAGAGAUCAUAAAGUCUAUAUCCCUUUUGGCCAUAUGCAUAGCCUAAGAAGAGACAUUGUGUGGCUCUUGCAUCAAACUUUGAGGGAUGAUGAUGGUGUGUUACGGCAAAACACAAGCAUCCAAAAACUCGCAAAUGGUCGUAUGUAUGCUGUUUGUGAAAAAGCAUCUCAAAGGGUAUUUUUCCUUUUAGGAGAAGUGUAGGUGUUCGGUUGAUGAGAUAUGUAGCAGUUAAAAUGGCAUCUCCCCAGAACUUUUUGGGAAGAUUGGCUUCAAAUAGCAAAGCUCGGGCCACAUUUAGGAGGUGACGAUGUUUUCGCUCCACUACUCCAUUUUGUUGUGGAGUAGAGACACAACUGGUUUGAUGAAUGAUCCCUUUAUCUAAAUAAAAGUUUCUCAUUGUAAAUUUAGGGCCAUUAUCACUACGAAGAAUUUUGACUUUCAAGGAAAAUUGUAUCUCAAUUAAAUUGAUGAAUGAGGUUAUGUAUUUAGAGGCGUCAGAUUUAUGAUUCAUCAAAUAAACCCAUGUACAUCGAGUGUAAUCAUCCACAAUAGAAAGAAAAUAUUGUGCCCCAUUGAUUGCAAGAACAUGGUAUCCUCCCCAAAUAUCAACAUGAAUUAAUUCAAAAAGUGCAUGAGCAUGAAUUGAACUUAAUGGAAAUUUAGAACAAGUUUGUUUGGCUAAUGGACAAAUUAAAUAAUCAGAAACAUCAUGAAAUUUUAUUUUUGUAUCUAAAUGGGAAAGUAAACGUAGACUCUUAUUUGAAAGGUGACCAAGGCGUUUAUGCCAAAGUUGACAGGUUGUGGAGGUAGCUGAGUUGCAUCUGGCUUUCUGCGUAGUAUCAAGGUAGUAAAGUCCUCCUCGUUCAAUUCCCAUCCCAAUCAUCUUCCCCGAUCGUUGGUCCUGUAACAUGCAAGUAUUCUUAGUAAAUGUGGCAAGAUAAUGGGAAUUGCAAACAAGUUUGCUAAUAGAGAUGAGAUUUAAUUUGAAGGAAGGAAUACAAAGCACAUCAUGUAAUGUAAAAUCAGCCACAUGAAUGCUGCCUAUGUGUGUAACAGUCGCUAGUUUUCCAUUAGGGAGAUAUACAGUUCGAUCAGUAACACAAGAUUUUGUGGUUAAUAAGUCAGCAGAGCAAACCAUAUGAUCGGUAGCUCCUGUGUCAAGUAUCUAACGAAUUUCUUGACCAAUAAUGAGAGCACAGAAGGUUGUACCUGAGAGAUCACUUAUAGCAGAUGUACUACUAACAUGAUUAGCCAUGGAUAUGGACUUGUUCUUAUCAAGCAUCGCCAUGAGGUUCUGGUAUUGCUCUGCCGUGAGAGUGAAGGGCGUGGGAGGUGCUAUUAUAUUGGCUUCCACAUGAAUCUCAGGCUUGGCUGAGUUUUGGAUCAAUUGACUGUCAUUUUCUGCCAUGUUCGGCCUUUGCUGUUGGGAAAGGAAAGGAAAUAAGGCUCAGAAUUGUUCUGGCUCUGAUACCAUGAAAAGGAAAAUAAUUUUUGUAUAUUUUAUUGAGAAAUAAUAAGGUAUAUAUAUACAUCAUACGAGAAUCAAUUUAGGUCCUAAAACAAAGCAUAUACAUUGUCAUUGCCUAUUCAUACUCCUGUAUAAAUGGAAAAUACAUUAACAGCAAUUGAUGGUGGUUGACUGAGAUGAUUGAAAGACAUUCCUGUCUUUGUGCCUUGAUUUACUUUUAAUUCUUUAACAGAGUCAUAAGCUUUUGGCUUAAAAGAAUCGUGACAUUUUUUAAUACUUAAAGUGAAAAUCAUGAAGAAGUAACUAUUGUAAAAAAGAAAUAAAUAAAAGAUGUCAUAGUUAAUGUGGCCCUUUUUUCUAUUGUUUGGAAUUGGCAUGUAAUGAUUGAGUUGUAUGCUCUGGAUUUUCAUACUGAUGAUGGACUCACAUUGUUUCAUUUGCAGUCAUCGAGUAGAAUGAGAGGAAGAAAUUUUGGAGUUUGUCAUGGUUGUAGAAGCAACACGCACUAUUUUGGACAAUGCCACUCAAAAUGCCGAUGCCCUAGUUGUGACCACGAAUAUUGAAAAUAUUUUGAGGUUGAACGAGAUAUUGGUAACAAAGGGCGUCUGUUCUUCGCCUGUAGCGAUGACUGUGGAUUCUUUGAUUGGGUGAAAGAUGAAGAUGCAGACGAGGAAUCACGUUCUGUUAAUCAUCCAGUGAAUCAUGCGCCCAACAAGGAAGACGAAGAGUUUCCAAGACUGUUUGAUGGGCUAGCUAGAAUUAGUGAGAAACGAGGCAUCGACAUAUCACUGCACAUGACUUUCAACAAGGAAAAAGAAAUUGCCAAAUGUGACAAGCAAGGAAAGGGGUCGGGUUGACCGAUUGAUUCAUGUAUGUGGUUGAUGAAUUGAUACCCUUGUUCUCGGGUGCAAAUGUGGUACUUCCACUUUGGCAUUAUUUCCAGUAUAAGUAAUUAGCUGUUUGCAACAUUUUAUGUACUACUUGCAAUAUUAUAAGUAAUUCCAAAUAAUUUAAUUAGUCAAAAACACGCUUGAUAUGUAGGUAUCUAAUUUUUUUAGAGGUGAGAA